GUUGAACGCUGGCGGCAGGCCUAACACAUGCAAGUCGAGCGGAGCGGCGGACGGGUGAGUAAGGCCUUGGCAUCUGCCCGGUAGUGGCGUACCACGUCCAGAAACGUUCGAAAUUACCACAUAAUAUCAGAUGAUCCUCGGUUGGCUUUGCUAGGUGGUGGGGUAAAGGCUUACCAAGGCGACGAUGCGUAUCUGGUCUGAGAGGAUGAUAAGUCACACUGGAACUGAGACAAGGCCCAGACUCCUACGGGAGGCAGCAGUGGGGAAUAUGUGGCAAUGGACGAAAGUCUGACCGAGCCAAGCCGCGUGUGUGAAGAAGGUUUUCGGAUUGUAAAACUCUUUAGUUUGGGAAGCGGUAUCAAAAGAAUAAGCAACGGCUAACUACGUGCCAGCAGCCGCGGUAAUAC
rnacentral:rRNA from 1 species